GAUGAACGCUGGCGGCGUGCCUAACACAUGCAAGUCGAGCGAGAUGUAUAUGGACGAAACUUCGGUCUAGGAAAUAUAUUGACAGCGGCGGACGGGUGAGUAACGCGUAGGCAACCUGCCCUUAACACAGGGAUAGCCUCGGGAAACCGGGAUUAAAACCUGAUAAUGCCAAAUAGUCACAUGGCUGUUUGGCCAAAGAUUUAUCGGUUAAGGAUGGGCCUGCGUCUGAUUAGUUUGUUGGUGGGGUAACGGCCUACCAAGACUACGAUCAGUAGCCGACCUGAGAGGGUGAUCGGCCACAUUGGAACUGAGACACGGUCCAAACUCCUACGGUAGGCAGCAGUGGGGAAUAUUGCACAAUGGGCGAAAGCCUGAUGCAGCAACGCCGCGUGAGCGAUGAAGGCCUUUGGGUCGUAAAGCUCUGUCCUUGGGGAAGAAAAAAAUGACGGUACCCAAGGAGGAAGCCCCGGCUAACUACGUGCCAGCCGCCGCGGUAAUAC
rnacentral:rRNA from 1 species